AUUGAACGCUGGCGGCAUGCCUUACACAUGCAGGUCGAACGGUAACAGGUCUUCGGAUGCUGACGAGUGGCGAACGGGUGAGUAAUACAUCGGAACGUGCCUAGUAGUGGGGGAUAACUACUCGAAAGAGUGGCUAAUACCGCAUGAGAUCUACGGAUGAAAGCAGGGGAUCGCAAGACCUUGUGAUACUUGAUCGGCCGAUGGCAGAUUAGGUAGUUGGUGGGAUAAAAGCUUACCACGCAGACGAUCUGUAGCGUGUCUGAGAGGACGAUCAGCCACACUGGGACCGAGACAAGGCCCAGACUCCUACGGGAGGCAGCAGUGGGGAAUUUUGGACAAUGGGCGCAAGCCUGAUCCAGCAAUGCCGCGUGCAGGAUGAAGGCCUUCGGGUUGUAAACUGCUUUUGUACGGAACGAAAAGCCCUGGGUUAAUACCCUGGGGUCAUGACGGUACCGUAAGAAUCAGCACCGGCUAACUACGUGCCAGCCGCCGCCGUAAAAC
rnacentral:rRNA from 1 species